rnacentral:lncRNA from 1 species
AUCCUGAGCAGAGUUGAAAAGGACUUAGAGAAGAAGAGAUUGGCGUAGCAUGGAAGUGACAAUAUGAGUUGUUUGUCAUCCCAGUAGAAUCCACAUAGUGCUACACCUGGUCAUUAUUGCCUAUUUCAAUUAACCAUGGGCCCAUCAAUAGCAGCCAUUGAAUUAACUUUCCUUCCUUUGAGGUUGAAAAGAUUUUUGCAGAAUUAUUCAAUCAGUUCCCAAAUUAGCCGAUGAGGAGCAGUUUAAUGACAUGCCAGUUCUUUUGUGGCAAGGAUAAUGUGUUUUGUCCUCUUCAAUAACGUCAUGUAUCUAUCACUGUAAAGGGAAGAGGCAGUGCAAUUUCUUGGGAGGAAAUUCUGAAUUAACUCGGGCUACUUAACUGCUUAUGGUGAUAGUUCUUACCCCAAAAAAAAGAAAAGAAAAGAAGAGAAAAGAAAAGAAAAGAAAAGCUGGUAUCCUAAAAGUUGGGCAAAAGGAUCAAACUGUACUUUCAAAGGAGCUCCAUUUCUGCACCUAACAUUUGCUACAUAUGUUCCCAAUAAAAUUGUAACAAUGUGAGCAUAUCUCAAAAGGAUUCAUAACAUUCUGUCACUUCAAUUUAAUGUUCUUACCAAUAAAAAAGAGAAGAGACUAUUUUGUCAUCAUUAAUAUGGCAGAUAGAAUUGUAAUUAUAUGCAAAUGAUCAAAUAUAUUUAAUUGCACAAUAGCUUAACUGCAACAUGAGAGGGACCAGAUGAUGGAAUAUUCUAUUUCUACAAAUGAAAGUACAUUUGGGAAUGCAAAUCUUUUGAAUAUAAGGUAUAAAAUAUAUACAGAAGAAGAAAUAUAUGAUAAUUUGAAGAUUGAGAAGACAAUUUUAACUAGGAAAAUACAGACAAGUCUCUCACUGAAAAUGAAAUUUAAGUUAAGCCUUGGGGAUAUCUAA